rnacentral:snRNA from 9 species
AUACUUACCUGCCGUAGGGAUACCGUGAUCAUGCAGGCAGCUUCCCCAGGGUGAGGCUCCUCUAUUGCACUGCGGACUGGUUGACCCUUGCGAUUAUUUAUAUAUUAUAUAAGUUUCACUUCUACCGUGUGUGACUUGCACACACACACACACACA